rnacentral:rRNA from 1 species
GCAAGUCGAACGGAAACGGGAUUAGUUUACUAAUUGCCGUCGAGUGGCGGACGGGUGAGUAAAGCAUGGGAACUUGCCUAUUAGUGGGGGAUAAGUCAGGGAAACUUGGUCUAAUACCGCAUACGCUCUACGGAGGAAAGUGGGGGAUCUUCGGACCUCAUGCUAAUAGAUGGGCCCAUGUCGGAUUAGCUAGUUGGUGGGGUAAAGGCUCACCAAGGCGACGAUCAGUAGCCGACCUGAGAGGGUGAUC